UGAUCAUGGCUCAGGAUGAACGCUAGCGGCAGGCCUAAUACAUGCAAGUCGAACGGUGUCUUCGGACAUAGUGGCGCACGGGUGCGUAACACGUAUGCAACCUACCUUACAUUGGGGGAUAGCCUUUCGAAAGGGAGAUUAAUACCGCAUAAGACAGUAGCUGGGCAUCCAGCAGUUGUUAAAGAUUUAUCGAUGUAAGAUGGGCAUGCGUCCAAUUAGUUAGUUGGCGAGGUAACGGCUCACCAAGACUUUGAUUGGUAGGGGAACUGAGAGGUCAAUCCCCCACACUGGCACUGAGAUACGGGCCAGACUCCUACGGGAGGCAGCAGUAGGGAAUAUUGGGCAAUGGACGCAAGUCUGACCCAGCCAUGCCGCGUGCAGGAUGAAGGCGUUAUGCGUUGUAAACUGCUUUUAUACAGGAAGAAACGACUCUUGCGAGAGGCAUUGACGGUACUGUAUGAAUAAGCACCGGCUAACUCCGUGCCAGCAGCCGCGGUAAUACGGAGGGUGCAAGCGUUGUCCGGAUUUAUUGGGUUUAAAGGGUGCGCAGGUGGUUUAUUAAGUCAGUGGUGAAAGACGGUCGCUCAACGAUUGCAGUGCCAUUGAAACUGGUAGACUUGAGUAAAGUAGAGGUGGGUGGAAUUGAUAGUGUAGCGGUGAAAUGCAUAGAUAUUAUCAAGAACUCCAAUUGCGUAGGCAGCUCACUUGGCUUUUACUGACACUCAUGCACGAAAGUGUGGGUAUCAAACAGGAUUAGAUACCCUGGUAGUCCACACUGUAAACGAUGAUAACUAGGUGUCGGCCGAAUCUGGUCGGUGCCACAGCGCACCCGUCAAGUUAUCCACCUGGGGAUACGCCAUCAACGGUGAAGCUCAAAUGAAUUGACGGAAUCGAAUUCCC
rnacentral:rRNA from 1 species